rnacentral:tRNA from 1 species
GUUCCGGUAGCUCAGCUGGAUAGAGCAACGGCCUUCUAAGCCGUGGGUCGCAGGUUCGAAUCCUGUCCGGAACGCCA